GCGACCGGCGCACGGGUGCGUAACGCGUAUGCAACUUGCCUCACAGAGGGGGAUAACCCGUCGAAAGACGGACUAAUACCGCGUACACUCCAUCUUGGGCAUCCAAGGUAGAGGAAAUGAAAUUCGCUGUGAGAUAGGCAUGCGUCCCAUUAGCUAGUUGGUGAGGUAACGGCUCACCAAGGCGACGAUGGGUAGGGGAACUGAGAGGUUGAACCCCCACACUGGUACUGAGACACGGACCAACUCCUACGGGAGGNANCAGUGANGAAUAUUGGUCAAUGGACNACAGCCUNAACCA
rnacentral:rRNA from 1 species